rnacentral:rRNA from 1 species
GAUGAACGCUGGCGGCGUGCCUAAUACAUGCAAGUCGAGCGAACGGACGAGAAGCUUGCUUCUCUGAUGUUAGCGGCGGACGGGUGAGUAACACGUGGAUAACCUACCUAUAAGACUGGGAUAACUUCGGGAAACCGGAGCUAAUACCGGAUAAUAUUUUGAACCGCAUGGUUCAAAAGUGAAAGACGGUCUUGCUGUCACUUAUAGGUGGAUCCGCGCUGCAUUAGCUAGUUGGUAAGGUAACGGCUUACCAAGGCAACGAUGCAUAGCCGACCUGAGAGGGUGAUCGGCCACACUGGAACUGAGACACGGUCCAGACUCCUACGGGAGGCAGCAGUAGGGAAUCUUCCGCAAUGGGCGAAAGCAUGACGGAGCAACGCCGCGUGAGUGAUGAAGGUCUUCGGAUCGUAAAAAUCUGUUAUUAGGGAAGAACAUAUGUGUAAGUAACUGUGCACAUCUUGACGGUACCUAAUCAGAAAGCCACGGCUAACUACGUG